AUCAACGCCAUGAAUGUAUGCAUCCCACCAAUCUAAUAACCACACUUCUAAAAUACUGACUCGAAAUAAUUUCAUCAUACAUAACUGUUUCAAUUUCAAUCCAUUUUGUUCAUAUGGUCGCUUCAUGUUGGUUUGUGUAUGAAGUAGGGUCAUACACCUUAAGCAAGAACUUCAUCUAAAAUUAAUCUAAAAUGUUAUACAACAAAAGUAAGCAAUAGCUUAAGAUUGAAGGGUUUCCGCCCAAAGGUCUACUAUGCUUUCUUUCUAAAUAGCCUUGGAGCUGGUUUCUUUCUAGGCUUGAUCGUACAUUUUUCUUGCUUGUCCUUCUCAUCAACUGAUUUUACCUCAUCGGAUUUUCCAACAGAUUCAUCCUUGUUAUUGUGCUCUCGAGAAACAAAACCAUUUUCCUGGACCGAGUUUAGAUCAUCUGAUCUUCCUCCAUUGAUUGCUCUGUUUCGUGGUUGGGGUUUUUGAUCAUCUGAAAACUUAUCAUUCUUAUCUGGCUUGGCUUUCUUGGACUUGCGUGUCUGUCUGGAAUGCGAAUCAGUCUUCUUCUGAUCUUUUGAUCCUUUCUUUGCCGCUGUAGAUCCUUGUUUUUCUACAAUAUCUGAAGAAUGUGCUUGACUAGACAACAGAAAGGAUGAUACUCUAAAUGUGUAAAUCUUAAAUCUGUCCGACUCUACCAAUUCAAACACCACUGCAUCACCAUCAUCUAGUUUAUGAUCCAAUGCAAAUCCCCUCCACCCGCCGCUAAGCCCAUUCCUUUUGCCAAGGUAUUUAGCGUCAUAUGUUGAGCCAUUUUCAUCUUCUAGUAUCAUAUCCAAGUCCUCUUUUGGUAGGUGAUCCUUGCAAAAUUGAGUAGGAAGCCCCAACCAGAAACAGCUAUAAACAUGAGACCGAACCAUUGAUUUGACAAAAGACGGGUUUCCAGAUUGUAGGCUACUUUGGAAUUCUUCUGCAACUCUAAGUGCUCGAGCCCGAUCUUCAUAAGAAGCAAGUUUGACUUCUUCCAAUGGCCUUGCAACAUAGCUUCCCCAUGAUGAGCUAAAUCUUGACCUCUUCCGCAAGGGUGGAAGGUGGAUGUCCAUAUCAUCACUAUAAGAGGUAACCGCAUUUCGUGCUCGAGAAGAGCGUCUUGGCUCAAAUGCCGCAGAAUUCUCUGGUUUUGGUUUUGGAAGGCGUUGCUUGGACUUCUUCUCAGGGCUAGUGAGCUUGGAGAGACUCUUGGAGAUGUUCAAAAUUCCCAAGUCCUCGAAGCGCUUUUUAUUUUCUUCAAGGCGCUGCUUGCGAGCUUCUUCAUAAGUGCUGGGGCUAGCAUCGUCCGCCGCCAUCUUAGAACAGUACGACAGAGAAGAUAGAAUUCCUAGGAGUGAAAGAAGCUGCGCUUCUACUACCACCACCACCCAGCUACUGCUAAAAUAUUUCGUUUUUCUUUUUUCCUUUUGUGCAA
rnacentral:misc_RNA from 1 species